rnacentral:rRNA from 1 species
GGCAACCUGGUGGCGAGUGGCGAACGGGUGAGUAAUACAUCGGAACGUGCCCAAUCGUGGGGGAUAACGUAGCGAAAGUUACGCUAAUACCGCAUACGAUCUACGGAUGAAAGCGGGGGAUCGCAAGACCUCGCGCGAAUGGAGCGGCCGAUGUCAGAUUAGGUAGUUGGUGGGGUAAAGGCUCACCAAGCCAAUGAUCUGUAGCUGGUCUGAGAGGACGACCAGCCACACUGGAACUGAGACACGGUCCAGACUCCUACGGGAGGCAGCAGUGGGGAAUUUUGGACAAUGGGCGCAAGCCUGAUCCAGCCAUUCCGCGUGCAGGAUGAAGGCCCUCGGGUUGUAAACUGCUUUUGUACGGAACGAAACGGUCUGCCCUAAUACGGCGGGCUAAUGACGGUACCGUAAGAAUAAGCACCGGCUAACUACGUGCCAGCAGCCGCGGUAAUACGUAGGGUGCAAGCGUUAAUCGGAAUUACUGGGCGUAAAGCGUGCGCAGGCGGUUAUAUAAGACAGAUGUGAAAUCCCCGGGCUCAACCUGGGAACUGCAUUUGUGACUGUAUGGCUAGAGUACGGCAGAGGGGGAUGGAAUUCCGCGUGUAGCAGUGAAAUGCGUAGAUAUGCGGAGGAACACCGAUGGCGAAGGCAAUCCCCUGGGCCUGUACUGACGCUCAUGCACGAAAGCGUGGGGAGCAAACAGGAUUAGAUACCCUGGUAGUCCACGCCCUAAACGAUGUCAACUGGUUGUUGGGUCUUCACU